rnacentral:rRNA from 1 species
CAGAUUGCAUUGGUUCGCUAAGCCUGCGAGUCGAGAGGGUUCAGCCCUCGGCUGACGGCUCAGUAACACGUGGAUAAUCUGCCCUAAGGUGGAGGAUAACCUCGGGAAACUGAGAAUAAUACUCCAUAGGUCUAGGAUGCUGGAAUGCACUUAGACUGAAAACUUCGGUGCCUUAGGAUGAGUCUGCGGACUAUCAGGUUGUAGUCAGGGUAAAGACCUGACUAGCCUACGACGGAUACGGGUUGUGAGAGCAAUAACCCGGAGAUGAUAUCUGAGACACGAUAUCAGGCCCUACGGGGCGCAGCAGGCGCGAAAACUUCGCACUGCGCGAAAGCGCGACGAGGGAAUCCCAAGUGUAUGCACGUAAGUGUAUACUGUUUCUCUGUCUAAAAAGCAGAGAGAGUAAGAGCUGGGUAAGACGGGUGCCAGCCGCCGCGGUAAUACCUGCAGCUCGAGUGGUGAUCGUUAUUAUUGGGCCUAAAACGUCCGUAGCCGGUCUUCUAAAUGCCUGGGUAAAUCGUAUGGCUUAACCAUACGAAUUCCGGGUAGACUGUUAGACUUGAGACCGGGAGAAGCUAGAGGUACUCCUGGGGUAGAGGUGAAAUUCUGUAAUCCUAGGGGGACGACCAGUGGCGAAGGCGUCUAGCUAGAACGGGUCUGACGGUGAGGGACGAAGCCCUGGGGCGCAAACGGGAUUAGAUACCCCGGUAGUCCAGGGUGUAAACGCUGCUUGCUUGAUGUUAGUCUGGCUCCGAGCCAGAUUAGUGUCGGAGAGAAGUUGUUAAGCAAGCUGCCUGGGAAGUACGGCCGCAAGACUGAAACUUAAGG